AAAGACCGGUGGUGACUUCUGACUUCAGAGUUCAGAGUUCGGACUUCAGACUUCAGAUUUCAUACAUAAUGCUUUAUACAUAUAGCAUUAAAGGUGUUCUGAACUCCGAAGUCUGAAGUCUGAACUCUGAAAUCUGAACUCCGAAGUCUGAACUCUGAACUCCGAAGUCUGAAAUCUGAACUCCGAAGUCUGAACUCUGAACUCCGAAGUCUGAAAUCUGAACUCCGAAGUCUGAAAUCUGAAGUCUGAACUCUGAAGUAUGAAGAAGUCUGAACUCUGAAGUAUGAACUCUGAAGUCUGAACUCUAAUCACGUGAUCUGACGUCAUACUAUUGUCGCGCCUUUUUGACGAGUAAACAGCCGGAAAAAACGAUUAAAAUCAAUGUUCUUCGCUGAGGUUAAAUAAAAUUGGCACACCAAUUGGCACACCAAUCUACAUGGCUCCAGAGUGUAUUUUAAAAGAAUCAAAGGGAACCACAGCCUCAGACAUAUGGUCGUUUGCAUGCACAAUUUUAGAACUAUUUACAGAACAUGAUAUCUGGGACCUUGAGUCUAGUGCAAUGGAAAAUGAUGAAUCUGAACAAGAGGAUAUGGUAAUUCUUCAAAGUCUUGUUGAAAAGAAGGAACAGCCACAUGCUCUUCGCCAUGUUCCAGAGAGUAUGCCACCAGUGAUUUUGGACCUUGUCCAGAAAUGUUUAUCAUAUCAUAAAGAUAGCCGCAUAUCUGCAGUUGAUAUUGUACAAAUAGUAGCUCAUCUGCAUUCUAAAUGUUUGAGGUGUACAAAGAAAUGUAUUCAGUAGUAGACAUAAUAUGUGACAAACUGUGUAUAGCAACAUGAUGACCAUGCUUUGAUUUGUUGUUUUGUCAAAAUACAAAAAAGUGAAGAUCUUAAUCAUCCAAUUACCGAAUUUCCUUAUUAGACCAUAACUGCAAAUAGUACAUCUGAUUAGACAUCAGGAGAAAAAAUGUACUACUGAAAAUGAUCAUGCUAAACAUGCAAAAUUCCAUUGUAACCUCAGGUACAUGUAACUUAGUUGAAUCCCAAUGCCCAUUUUGAUCUUGCGUUAAUUAUUGCAGUAAAGUUGAUCAGCCGUGUGAGAGUUGUAUCCAGAAAAUUCUAUUUUGUUGCCACCUUGCAAAAUUAUGAUACAACAAAAUUGUGCCUACACAAAGACUGUCAAGUAUUUGAAACAAUGUAUAUACACGUUUUUUCUGGUAUUUUACAAAUUGAAAUUAUAAUGAUUUUUACAUUGUAAGUUUUUUGUUACAUUAAAAUUUAAUCAAUGUUCAAGUGCAGGACUUUUUCAAGUGUAGGUCACAAUAUUUUAGACAUGCCAAAUACAUUUUCAUUUACUUAUUAUAAGUUAACUUUGCAUUUUGUUUCAACUGUUUUAAGACUUAAUUUUGACUCUUUUAAUUGAGCAUUUCUAAGAAAGUACAUUUGCAGGAUGUACCCUAAUUAAAGCAGACCUUGCCUUUUUACCUGCACAAUUACACACAAGAUGAUCUGCUUUUGUUUUAAUUGAAAUGUUAAUUAUUAUUAGCACAUUUACUUAUUAUGAGUAAACUUUUCAUUUAGUUUUACCUGUUUUAAAAGUUUUUUUUUUUCUCUUUUAUUUGAGUAUUUCUAAGAAAGUACAUUUGCAGGAUGCACCCUAAUUAAAGCAGAACUUGGCCGUUUUACCUGCACAAUAACACACAAGGUGACCUGCUCCACCAUUGCACAUAGCUCUUAGGAAAUCAUGGCUGCCAGGGUAAGGUUCUAGUGCCCUCUCGGGCUUUUAUGGGCCUUUUGUUUAACUUGAGAGCAGGCAAUAUGCCAUAUGUAAUUAAAGUUGUGAAAAAUAUUUGAAUACAUGUAUUUUCUGAAUUCAGAUUUUUAUUGCAGUUAAUUGUUAAAGCCAGAAAUUUUAAUAAACAAGUUUUAAUUGAUGCAA